UAGAAUUAGAAUUACGUUAGUGAUUGAAAAGGAGAUACACUUCCUGUUUUUCAUUUGUCUUUCUAUUUACACGUAUAAUAAAAGUUCGGAGUGUCCUUGAAUGCAUCUGGAUGUGGUGUGUCGAUGAGGAAGUGUGUUUCCCAGAACGAGGAGGACUAGAGACGUGUUUUAUGUCACCGGGAGAUCAUUAUUUCCUUCAUACAAUGCUACUCAACUGAAGACAGUUUAAGGAAUUUAGUACAGGCAUCAGUACUGUUAUGAGACUUGACAUCCGACGACAUGACCUUUCACACUGCAUGGAGACCAGCAGAACCCAUGGCCGAGACGGACAUGCCAUGGCCCGAGACGGGCAUGCCAUGGCCCGAGACGGACAUGCCGUGGCCGAGACGGGCAUGCCGUGGCCGAGACGGGCAUGCCGUGGCCGAGACGGACAUGCCAUGGCCCGAGACGGACAUGCCAUGGCCCGAGACAGACAUGCCAUGGCCCGAGACGGACAUGCCAUGGCCGAGACGGACAUGCCAUGGCCUAGACAUGCAAUGGCCGUGACAGAUAUGCCAUGGCCGAGACGGACAUGCCAUGGCCGAGACGGACAUGCCAACAUGCCAUGGCCGAGACGGACAUGCCAUGGCCGAGACGGGCAUGCCAACAUGCCAUGGCCGAGACAGACAUGCCAUGGCCGAGACGGACAUGCCAACAUGCCAUGGCCGAGACGGACAUGCCAUGGCCGAGACGAACAUGCCAUGGCUGAAGCACUGGUAUGCGCAUGUUAGUGGUUCAUGGCGCUAAAGGAACGUUUGUUAGCUUUGCCAGUCCUAAUGAACACCUGUGUGACUGUGAUUAUCGGUUAUGGGUGUGGUUGGUGUAUCGGAUGUGUGUACCUAAUGUAGUGUCCAUUGAUUGAAGCGAGGAUGCUAGCUAGCAUUGUCGCAUGCAUGCUUUGCAGCCACGGAAGGGUUAAGGCAGCAUGAAAGCAUCCAUUGUGGUUUUAAUGAUCUAGCCGCCCCUUGGCUAGUACUAAAUGGACCAAAGACGUGUGAUAACAGGCGGCCUCUGAACGUCCAAUGCAGAGCGAGGCGGACUGCCCUUUCUUUCUCGUGUUUUAACUUGGCGUCCAGAUUGCUGGUGUUUUCUCACAUGGAUCCAUCAUUUGCUUUGUGAUGAUUUUAGAGCGUGUAGCUGUUGACAAUCAUACUGGCAGUGACGUCGGACAUAUUUUCUUGCUCCGCAUGCUGAUCCAGUCUAUUUUUUGAACGUGUCCAUAUGGCCGCGUGCAGCUUCAAUGAAGCACACGGCUGCUACAGCAUGUAAAGGCGUAGCGUGCCGACUUUUCCUCGCUAUUGUUCAGUCCCUCCGUAGAUGUGUCUUUAAGGAAAAAAAAGCUGAAUUCAAAUGAGGCACCCCUCUGGUGCCACACAUGCUUCUCAGCCUCCCAAACAACACCUAGUGCAGGUGUGAAUAUUCUAAUCCCCAGUGAGAAUCACAGUGGGCCCUCUUGUCUUGUCCUCAGAGUCUCCUUUAUGUGUGCCGCUGGCUAACAGCGACUUGCAGAAACACCUUUGACUAAGUGGAAGGUGGACAUCCUCUUACCAACUGGGCUUAAUGACUGAUGAUGCGGCACGCAAUUGAAAACACAACCUAAUUGAAAAUAAAGUGCAUUCCCAAAAACAUAUUCAGUAUUCAAAUAUUGU